AUUCCUACGGGAGGCAGCAGUGGGGAAUCUUAGACAAUGGGCGCAAGCCUGAUCUAGCCAUGCCGCGUGUGUGAUGAAGGCCCUAGGGUCGUAAAGCACUUUCGCCAGGGAUGAUAAUGACAGUACCUGGUAAAGAAACCCCGGCUAACUCCGUGCCAGCAGCCGCGGUAAUACGGAGGGGGUUAGCGUUGUUCGGAAUUACUGGGCGUAAAGCGCACGUAGGCGGACUAUUAAGUCAGGGGUGAAAUCCCGGGGCUCAACCCCGGAACUGCCCUUGAUACUGGUAGUCUUGAGUUCGAGAGAGGUGAGUGGAAUUCCGAGUGUAGAGGUGAAAUUCGUAGAUAUUCGGAGGAACACCAGUGGCGAAGGCGGCUCACUGGCUCGAUACUGACGCUGAGGUGCGAAAGUGUGGGGAGCAAACAGGAUUAGAUACCCUGGUAGUCCACACCGUAAACGAUGAAUGCCAGUCGUCGGGUAGCAUGCUGCUCGGUGACACACCUAACGGAUUAAGCAUUCCGCCUGGGGAGUACGGUCGCAAGAUUAAAACUCAAAGGAAUUGACGGAA
rnacentral:rRNA from 1 species